rnacentral:tRNA from 2 species
GUAGAUGUAGUUUAAACAAAACGCUAAACUGUGAAUUUAGAUACAGGAGCUUAAACCCCCUUAUCUACC